CCACACACUCACACAAACACGCACGCACACAACCACACACUCACACAACCACACACUCACACAACCACACACGCACACAACCACACACUCACACAACCACACACUCACACAACCACACACUCACACAACCACGCACUCACACAAACACGCACGCACACAACCACACACUCACACAACCACACACUCACACAACCACACACUCACACAACCACACACGCACACAACCACACACUCACACAACCACACACUCCCACAACCACACACUCACACAACCACACAACCACACACUCACACAACCACACACUCACACAACCACACACUCACACAACCACACACGCACACAACCACACACUCACACAACCACACACUCACACAACCACACACUCACACAACCACACACUCACACACUCACACAACCACACACUCACACAACCACACACUCACACAACCACACACUCACACAACCACACACUCACACAACCACGCACGCACACAACCACACACUCACACAACCACACACUCACACAACCACACACUCACACAACCACACACUCACACAACCACACACGCACACAACCACACACUCACACAACCACGCACUCACACAACCACGCACUCACACAACCACGCACUCACACAACCACGCACGCACACAACCACACACUCACACAACCACACACUCACACAACCACACACUCACACAACCACGCACGCACACAACCACACACUCACACAACCACACACUCACACACUCACACAACCACACACUCACACAACCACACACUCACACAAACACACACUCACACAACCACACACUCACACAACCACACACGGAACAACAACAACUGAGAAACUUAAACAACAACAAUGGUUUAUUGGAAAGCUGCUGAUUCAGCCCAACAAUAAGCACACAGACGUCUCCCUUCUCUCUCUGUUUGACCCUUGGGUCACCCAGCCAGACCAAAGAGACAGAGACAGACAGCCACAAAUAACCAAUCACCAGGCAGAGAUUUCUGUCUGAGCCAAUAAGAGGUGUUGGGAGCGGCUGAUAGAGUCUUUAUGAGCAGUGUGUGAG
rnacentral:lncRNA from 1 species